rnacentral:misc_RNA from 1 species
CAGAGUUCAUGCCCUCACGGGUAGAUCUCCCACCCUUGAAUACUAUACCUUUGUUGCUUUGGCGGGCCGCUACGGCUACCGGUUCCAGCUGGUAAGUGCCCGCCAAAGGACCCCUAAACUCUAAAUAUUAGUGUUGUCCGAGUACUAUAAAAUCGUUA